CGCCCUCAGAGCUCAGUAAAGGCCCAUCCGCCGGAGAGACCAGACAUCUCCAGCCUAGCUUGUGGCUGGGAAAACUCUGCGACCCCAGGCGGCCGCUAGGAGCUGCCGGGCCUGCCCUGCGCCCGCUAUCCGGAGGAGCUGCCGGGCCUGCCAAUCAAUCCCUGCCCUGACGAACCCAUGGUCCUAGAUCCCCCAAAGGCCGACACCAGGACCCAGGAAACAAAUUCAACUCUGGACUAAGACCGAGCAUGAGACGUUCCAGGCUGAAUUCUGGGGGAAAUUACUCAUGACUGAAAUGGGGGGAUUUUUAAUGCCAGUUGUAAUGACAGAUUAUAUGAAACAGCUGGUCAAAUAGAACGAGGAACCAGUUAGUUGGCAUUUGAUGAAAUAAUAAAAACAGACACCAUGCAAACUUUGGCAGUACCAAGCAAUCCUCAAGAAGUCUGGACACAAAAAAGAAAUGGACUGGAAUCUGAUCACUGCAGCUGUGUAGGUUUUCAGGUAAGGGUCAGCUAUUUCAUGGCAUGACAAUCAUUUGAAAGAUGCUUAAGAGGUUCCCACUACAAUGAAAGUGCAUUCAUUACAAUAAAUACGGAAAUUCCAAAUGACAGAAAUACACCAGCUGUGUUUACAUUAAACAGAAGUCUCCACUAGCUACUCUGGGGCAAAAAAGGGCUUGUAAACCUGGUGCCAGCACAGGGCCAGAAGAAGUGGCUUGUACCUCCUCUGCGCAAAAGCUGACGGGGGCUGGGUAGUUCUGAGGACAACUGUACUAUGUGGUGUUGCUGCAAUGACACCAGGGAAAGGAGGAAGUGCAAUGUGACUAGCGAUAUGAAGAGCUGCAGCAAGGCGUGCCUCAUGCUCGCUCUGCAAGCUGUGCUGAGAACUUCUCAACUUUCCAGUGUGAUAUGUAAUCAGACUGUCCCAGGAAAAACAUAGAGCCUGUUUAUUCUGGCUGCGCUCUGUGUGGUGCAGGAAGAGGGGUAGGUCUGGUUCUGGGUGAGAAGUGCCUUUAAAAGCCACCUUGGUGCUUCCCCUGUUCUUGGCCCCUUACAGAAACCUGUCCUCCCCUCACUGUGAGGCCUGGUCUACACUGGGGAGGGGGGGGAGGAGGAUCGAUCUAAGAUACACAACUUCAGCUAUGA